GUGAGGAUGGCGGAACUGGCAGACGCGUACGUUUGAGGGGCGUAUGGAGAAAUCCGUGUGGGUUCAAGUCCCAUUCUUCACACCA
rnacentral:tRNA from 4 species